rnacentral:lncRNA from 10 species
UCAUAUUUGUGCUCCUUCACGGGAGGGCAGGGAGGUUCAACGGACCUUAAAACAUGAAGGUCUUUUUUCUGUUUGCUGUUCUCUUUUGUUUGGUCCAAACAAACUCAGUGCACAUCUCUCACCAGGAGGCUCGAGGACCCUCAUUUAAGAUCUGCGUGGGCUUUUUAGGGCCUAGAUGGGCCAGGGGAUGUUCCACUGGGAAUUAGAAAUACCAUCUGCCGUAUGCAGCAAGGGAUCUGCAGACUUUUUUUCUGCCAUUCUGGUGAGAAAAAGCGUGACAUUAGCUCUGAUCCCUGGAAUAGGUGUUGCGUAUCAAAUACAGAUGAAGAAGGAAAAGAGAAACCAGAGAUGGAUGGCAGAUCUGGGAUCUAAAAUAUAAGCUCCCGGAAGGCAGGGAUGUUGAAGUAUCCCAAGGGCUUAAAGGAAUGUGUGGCUUAUAGUAGGUGUUCAAUAAAUAUUUGUUGAAUGAAUUUAGCACCAAAGGUGAAGAGCUGAUAAAAGACAUUUUUUUAACUUCCUUA